UCUGUACUGUGUCAAGUCAUUUUGCCCUAGCCCCUUCCAUUCCCGAUUCCUCUUCUUUGAGUUCUCUCGAGUCUCGACUCUGUCUUUUUCAAUUUCGCUCUCGCUAGUUGCCUUUCUCUAGUCUCCGAUUUAGUCUCCGGCGGUCCGGCCUCCGCGACUCCGCCUCUUAGUCUCUCAGCUCUCACGGAGUCACGGUCUCCCUUCGUUCGGCCUUCGUAAUCGCAGCUCCGCCGUCCGCGUCUCGGUGGCCGGUGGGUGGCAAUCGCCAGUUCUCUACUUCUCUUGCAAACUAUUUGGUACUAAUUACUAAAAGUUUUAACCUUUAUUUUUUCAAGUUUUCUACUGUUUGUGGUUGUGGUCCUUGUGGACAUAUGAAGCUAAAAGCCUAAUAUAUUUGUGUUUCCUUCGUAUUUGGUGGUAACCCGUAACAUCUAUUAGUGAUUCCUUGAAUUCAGGCUUUCCUUUGUCAAUAUGUGAAUUGUAUUAUCAAGAUUCAAGAUGACCCAAGUACCCAACUGUUCUACUAUUAUAUUUUAUUUUAACAAUUAGCCUUAUAUAAGUGUUUACUUGUGUGAUAUUCUAGCUUUUGAUGUUAAGAUUUCAGUAAAUUAAUUUGGGGUGUUUGGUUCUAUUUCCAUACAUGUUCUAUUUCUAUGUACUUCUUCUGUUUGAG
rnacentral:lncRNA from 1 species